rnacentral:rRNA from 1 species
UAUCUCUGUAGAGUCUGCAUAUCAAUAAGCGGAGGAAAAGAAACUAACUAGGAUUCCCUCAGUAACGGCGAGUGAAGCGGGAAGAGCUCAAAUUUGAAAUCUUCAAGGUUCUACCUUGACGAAUUGUAGUUUAAAGAAGUGUUUUCUGUUGGUGUUUUGGUAAAAGUUCUUUGGAAUAGGACAUCAUAGAGGGUGAGAAUCCCGUAUUUGACCAUUACUUCCAGCGUUGUGAUACACUUUCAAAGAGUCGGAUUGUUUGGGAAUGCAGUCCAAAAUGGGUGGUAAAUUUCAUCUAAAGCUAAAUAUUGGCGAGAGACCGAUAGCGAACAAGUACCGUGAGGGAAAGAUGAAAAGAACUUUGAAAAGAGAGUUAAACAGUACGUGAAAUUGUCAAAAGGGGAGCGUUUGACACCAGUGUUGUUUUCUCGAAAAUCAAUUAAAAAAGGCAGGAUUUUGUGUUGUAUUGACUUUAUCAGCUUUCUGCACUCUUUUCUUGUCUUUUUUUAAUGCACUUUUCGUUUAACAAGUCAACAUCAAUUUCUUUUGUUGUAAAAGGGUCAUUGGAAGGUGGCUUUCUUUUCGGAGAAAGUGUUUAUAGCCUUUGGCCUCUGCAAUCGGAGAGAUUGAGGUCUGCAGCGUAGAUCCUUCGGGGUUAGAUACAUUUGUGCUAAGUUAUAGCCUUUCAUAGACAACUUGUUGACUAUGAUCAGUCAUGUAGCUUACUCGCUUAUGCUAUUUUACCUACGCUUAGGAUGUUGAUAGUCACAGCGUGUAC